CCUACGGGAGGCAGCAGUGGGGAAUAUUGCACAAUGGGCGCAAGCCUGAUGCAGCCAUGCCGCGUGUGUGAAGAAGGCCUUCGGGUUGUAAAGCACUUUCAGCGAGGAGGAAGGCAGUCGUGUUAAUAGCACGGUUGAUUGACGUUACUCGCAGAAGAAGCACCGGCUAACUCCGUGCCAGCAGCCGCGGUAAU
rnacentral:rRNA from 1 species